rnacentral:lncRNA from 1 species
CCAGCCCCUCCAGCCGCAGAGCCGUCCCAGGAGCCGGGCGCCCGCGCACUGCCUGCAGCCAGGCCAGGGAGCCACGGGUGGCAUGUCCCUUUUGAUGCUGCCCAGAAGCGUUCCUGAGAGCAAGACUGAGCCUUCUAAGUCAUCAUCUCCUGGGCUCAGAGUUGCUCAGACACUUGCUGACAGACUGCAGAGGGAGUUGGAGCUGGGUGUUCAGAACAACAGGGCAGUGGGGGGCUGAGACAAGCUGAGGAAUU